rnacentral:tRNA from 1 species
CUUUAGCUUAAACUUUAGAGCAUUAAUUUGAAGCAUUAAGGGUACUUUUUAGUAGG